UACGUAGGGUGCAAGCGUUGUCCGGAAUUAUUGGGCGUAAAGAGCUCGUAGGUGGUCUGUUGCGUCGGCUGUGAAACCCCGAGGCUCAACCUCGGGCCUGCAGCCGAUACGGGCAGACUAGAGUUCGGCAGGGGAGACUGGAAUUCCUGGUGUAGCGGUGAAAUGCGCAGAUAUCAGGAGGAACACCGGUGGCGAAGGCGGGACUCUGGGCCGAUACUGACGCUGAGGAGCGAAAGCGUGGGGAGCGAACAGG
rnacentral:rRNA from 1 species